AUGUAAGAAUUUAAAGGUCGAACAGACCUAUACAUUAAGCGGCUACACCUAAUUAUUUUCUUAAUCCAACAUCGAGGUCGCAAGCCUUCCCGUAAAUAUGAACUCUGGAGGAAGAUUACGCUGUUAUCCCUAAGGUAACUUAAUCUAACAAUCAAUAAUAAUGGAUCUAGUAUUCAUAAAUCAAUGUUACUUAAAUAAAAAAGUUAUUUAUAUAUUUUUGUCACCCCAACAAAAUAAUUAAAAUAAUAAUAAAAAAUGAUAAACAAAAAAUAAUUAAAAUCAUAAUUAUAAAGCUCUAUAGGGUCUUCUCGUCUUCCAAUAUAAUUUCAGCCUUUUAACUGAAAAGUUAAAUUUUAAAUACAAAUUAAAUGAGACAGUUAACACCUCGUCAAACCCUUCAUACCAGCCCCCUAUUAAAAGACUAAUGAUUAUGCUACCUUUGCACAGUCAAAAUACUGCGGCCGUUAAAAUAAAAUUUCACUGGGCAGGUCAGACCUCAUAUACAAACAAGAGGACAUGUUUUUGAUAAACAGGCGAGCGUUAAAUUUGCCGAAUUCCUUAUUUAAUUAUAUCAAAAAAUAGAUGAUAUACAAUAAAGUUAUACUAAUUCAAUCAUUAUUAUAAAUUUUAUAUAAUUAAAAAUAUCAUUUUAAUAAAAUACUAAAAUAAAGAAAAUCACAUUAUUAUUUAUUUGAACUACAACGAACUCUUUAAUGAUAGCUAAUUUAAAGCUUACAAAAAUUAAAUAAAACAGAAUUUUUAGAAUAAUAUUAGAGCUUAUCCCCUAAUAUCUCAAUCUUAGUUAAUAAAUAAUUAAUAAAUAAAUUAUUUAACAGCUAAGACUAAAUUAAAUUUAUUUCUUAAAAAACU
rnacentral:rRNA from 1 species